rnacentral:rRNA from 1 species
GGAUGAGCCCGCGGCCUAUCAGCUUGUUGGUGAGGUAACGGCUCACCAAGGCGACGACGGGUAGCCGGCCUGAGAGGGCGACCGGCCACACUGGGACUGAGACACGGCCCAGACUCCUACGGGAGGCAGCAGUGGGGAAUAUUGCACAAUGGGCGAAAGCCUGAUGCAGCGACGCCGCGUGAGGGAUGACGGCCUUCGGGUUGUAAACCUCUUUCAGCAGGGAAGAAGCGAAAGUGACGGUACCUGCAGAAGAAGCGCCGGCUAACUACGUGCCAGCAGCCGCGGUAAUACGUAGGGCGCAAGCGUUGUCCGGAAUUAUUGGGCGUAAAGAGCUCGUAGGCGGCUUGUCACGUCGGUUGUGAAAGCCCGGGGCUUAACCCCGGGUCUGCAGUCGAUACGGGCAGGCUAGAGUUCGGUAGGGGAGAUCGGAAUUCCUGGUGUAGCGGUGAAAUGCGCAGAUAUCAGGAGGAACACCGGUGGCGAAGGCGGAUCUCUGGGCCGAUACUGACACUGAGGAGCGAAAGCGUGGGGAGCGAACAGGAUUAGAUACCCUGGUAGUCCACGCCGUAAACGGUGGGCACUAGGUGUGGGCAACAUUCCACGUUGUCCGUGCCGCAGCUAACGCAUUAAGUGCCCCGC